UGCUAUACAUGCAAGUCGAACGAGUUUACUUUUAAUGAAGGCGGUGCUUGCACUAACUGAUUUUUAAAAUAAACGAGUGGCGGACGGGUGAGUAACACGUGGGUAACCCUACCCUAAAGUGGGAGCGAUAACAUUUGGAAACAGAUGCUAAUACCGCAUAAUAUUAAAAACCACAUGGUUGUCAAUUGAAUGACGGCGUAAGCUGUCACUUUUGGAUGGACCCGCGGCGUAUUAGCUAGUUGGUGAGGUAACGGCUCACCAAGGCGAUGAUACGUAGCCGACCUGAGAGGAGAGGGUGAUCGGCCACAUUGGGACUGAGACACGGCCGAAACUCCUACGGGAGGCAGCAGUAGGGAAUCUUUCACAAUGGACGAAGGUCUGAUGGAGCAACGCCGCGUGAGUGAAGAAGGUUUUCGGAUCGUAAAACUCUGUUAUUGGAGAAGAACGUAUGUGGUAGUAACUGGCCAGAUAGUGACGGUAUCCAAUCAGAACGCCACGGCUAACUACGUGCCAGCAGCCGCGGUAAUACGUAGGUGGCAAGCGUUGUCCGGAUUUAUUGGGCGUAAAGCGAGUGCAGGCGGUUUUUUAAGUCUGAUGUGA
rnacentral:rRNA from 1 species